rnacentral:rRNA from 1 species
CCUACGGGUGGCAGCAGUGGGGAAUAUUGGACAAUGGGGGGAACCCUGAUCCAGCGACGCCGCGUGAGUGAAGAAGUAUUUCGGUAUGGAAAGCUCUAUCAGCAGGGAAGAAAGAAAUGACGGUACCUGACUAAGAAGCCCCGGCUAACUACGUGCCAGCAGCCGCGGUAAUACGGAGGGGGCAAGCGUUAUCCGGAUUUACUGGGUGUAAAGGGAGCGUAGACGGCGAUGCAAGUCUGAAGUGAAAGGCGGGGGCCCAACCCCCGGACUGCUUUGGAAACUGUAUGGCUGGAGUGCAGGAGAGGUAAGUGGAAUUCCUAGUGUAGCGGUGAAAUGCGUAGAUAUUAGGAGGAACACCAGUGGCGAAGGCGGCUUACUGGACUGUAACUGACGUUGAGGCUCGAAAGCGUGGGGAGCAAACAGGAUUAGAUACCCGGGUAGUC